GGUAUAGUUGAGUUAUAGGUGUUGGUGACCGAAGGUUUUCUCAGUGUCCCGGAUGAGAUCACGGACGUCACGAGGGUUUCGGGAAUGGUCCAGGAACGAAGAUUGAUAUAUAGGAUUGUUUCAUUUGGCCCCCGUAAAGAUUUUGGGCAUUGCCGGCAGUGUACCGGGAGUGACGAAUGGGUUCAAGGUUUUUAUCGGGAGGGAGCCACCCACCCGGAAGAGAACCUAAUAGCCCAUGGGUGGCGCACCAGCCCUUGGUGGGCUGGUGAGGCCAACCCAAUAGGGCUAUUUCGGCCAAGAGGAAAAAAU
rnacentral:lncRNA from 1 species